UGCCGUUUCCGCAAGCCGCACUUUGAAGAUGGAGGAGGUAGAAGACCGAGUGGGCCGUGCCAUGAAUUUACUAGGUGGCGAAAAGGAGCCACCUGCCUGCUCUUCGCAGGAGCAGCACACUCGUGUUGUGGCAAGCCACUGAGGGCACCCCACUCUGCCCCCACCUACCUCGUUCAGACAAACACCAGCUCAUACAACAGCUCCCCUGAUGGCCUCCCAGCAGCCACACAGCAGCCGGAAGGAUCGAUCUUAAGUGAAGCUUCCUCUGAGCUCCUCCCCAAGGCUGAGAGAGGACUGUCCUCUGAGCUUCCUCCAUCGCAGCGCUGGCCACCCUACGCUGUAACUGCCUGGUUGUGUGUCUUUGAGUCCCAGGAGGGCAAGGGCUGGGUCUGUCUUGGUCACUACUGUCCCCAGCCACCAACGCAUGUCACGCCACCCAGCAGGGACUUAAUAAGCGUUUUUGAAUGAG